ACAUCCUGCAGGUGCCCUGGCAUCCAGCCGUACCCAACUUCUUUCCCAGUGCCAGGCACAUAGCAGGCUUUCAAUAUGCAUUGGCUAAAUGAGAGUGAGGGCGAGCAGGAAAGCACCCUCUGUGCAUGAGCAGCCCCGUGUGACUUUCGAGAAGGAGAGAGGGAAGAAAAGAUCUGACCGGGAGCCAUGAGCCUGGGCUCUGCUCCCAGCUCUGCUACCCACUAGCUCCGGCCCAGGGAGCGGCUGACCUGCCUGCCUCGCUGCCUCGCCCGGAGGAUGAGGGCCUGACCAGGGAGCCCGUGUGGGAGGCUGCUUGGUGAAAUUCAGCGUGUGGCUCUGGGGCUCUGGGCGCGUGGCUCUCUCUCUAGGAUCCGUUUCACCAUCUGUGAAAUGGGCUUAUGAUCAUGCCUCCCUCACAGCGUCCUCGUAGAGCGGCUGACACAAAGCAGGGGUCAGUCGGAGGCAGCUGCUGUGGCCCCGCCACAACAUCCAACAUGAACUCUCAACUGGAAGUGAAUCAUCACCUCGCUCUCAGCACAGCCACAGAACACAGUCUUGAUCUCCGCGGAUACAGCUCUAGAUUCACGCUGGCAUCCUUGUUGCUGAAAACCUACCCCAGAGAACAUGUGUAAAAUGCAAGUGAUUCUCCCUGAAUUCACAUCAUCAUUGAUUUCUGUACAAAGAACCCUUUAAUAUUACUUAUUUGGCACUUCCCAGCAUAGAAAGACAAGAAGACACGAUGUCAGACCUUGCAGAAAAUAUCCCUAACUAGAGAGGACCCUUGGACACGCACAGGAGGGGCUGAGGAAGAAGAGUGGGGGAAGCAUCCUGAGACUCGGCCACAAGUCGCCGUGGACGCCGCCCUCUCCAUGCACGCGGCACUGCCAUGUCUACGGGCCGCCCCCCAUGCUGGGAGCCGAGGCACCGAGGGCUUCACUGAAGCCUCUGUCCCUAGGGGUUCAUGGCCCAGCUUGGAACAGGCAGGCUACAGGCCGCUGUCUGGUUGGAUGUGUCGGGUUGGAUGUGUCUGGUUGGGCUCGCAGAAUGUUUUUUAAUGCCACGUUAGAUAUCAACAUCUAAUAAUCAGAUAAUUAAAAAUGAAAAUAUGAACUUUUGGCUACUCUAUGACUGGCAACUGUGGGCCAAAACCGCCCCGCAGAGCCCCGGUUGGACUGAGCACAGCCCGGGCGCUGCCCUACCCAUGCCCGCGCCCUCCUGGACACCAGCCCCGUCUUUCUGCUGUCUGAAAGCCCCCACGCCUGCCUCUUAGGCCACUCUACCAGUCAUGAUUCUCCUCAUGUAAAGAAGUAUGUAAUGAUUUCUUCUGUGUGUCUCUAGUUCUGAAUUUAUGAACAAUAAUGCCUUAGCCAUAAAGACUCUAUUUUUAAAAAUUGCUUUUAGUGCUUCGAAGGCUUAGAAAAUCUACAGGCAGACUUUUAAUUAACCAAAGUAAUAUCUAUCAAUUUUUAAAAUGGAGAACCAUCACUCCAAUUGUACCACCCUGGCACAAGCAUCAUUAAUGUUUAUUUAUAAAUCUGUUUAGUGUUUUAUUGCUGUGUGUACUAUGUAUUUUAACAUAGAUAUUAACUAUAUUGCUGAUGCAAUUUGGUGUUCUGUUUCUCUCAUUUAACAUAUAUUUUGCAUACUCAUGAAUAAAAUUUUAAGACUGCUUACAUUUUCUUUUAAGUAUCCGUUCUGAAUUUACGUUCCUAUUCUGUUAGGUAGUAGAGUUAUUCCCAAAUUUUCCCUCUUAUAACCAAUGUUCUGACAAAUGGCUUGAUUUGUCCUUGUCUUUCAGAACAUCCCAUUAGUCCCGUUGCUUGGUUUUUCCUUAGCGACCUGCUUCAGCUAUGCUCCUAAGCCAGGUCACAUUGGUUGUGGGGCAAAGAGGCUGGGCAUUCAAAGGCAGGGUGAGCACGGUGGGCAGGCAGGUGGGUGGCCACCGGGGCCAGCACUGUAAAGGCCGUAAAGCCAAGGCAGGGGUCGGGGUUAGGGGCCUCAGGUCAGUGAGGUCCCAACCAAGGGCAGGCCCAAGCCAGGCGGGUCUCGGCCAGGCAUCGAAGCGUGGGAGUCACCAAGACGACUCGGAUCCCAGGACAGGGCUGCUGACUCCCCAGCAGCUUCUCAUGUCCAGCUGGAGGGAAAACCCCAGGGCUCUGUUCUGUAGGUGGGAUGCAGCUGACUGCAAAAUGCAAGGAAUGCCACCUGCCACGGGUUUCUCAUAUGAGGCGCACAUCCUUCCUGAGACCUCGCAUGGUCUCAGGAGCAUGCUCCCAGGAGCAUGACUACAG
rnacentral:lncRNA from 1 species